UGGGGAAUAUUGCACAAUGGAGGGAACUCUGAUGCAGCGACGCCGCGUGAACGAAGAAGGCUUUCGAGUCGUAAAGUUCUUUUAUCUGGGAAGAUAAUGACGGUACCAUAAGAAAAAGCCCCGGCUAACUACGUGCCAGCAGCCGCGGUAAUACGUAGGGGGCUAGCGUUGUCCGGAAUCACUGGGCGUAAAGGGUUCGCAGGCGGAAAUGCAAGUCAGGUGUAAAAGGCAGUAGCUUAACUACUGUAAGCAUUUGAAACUGCAUAUCUUGAGAAGAGUAGAGGUAAGUGGAAUUUUUAGUGUAGCGGUGAAAUGCGUAGAUAUUAAAAAGAAUACCGGUGGCGAAGGCGACUUACUGGGCUCAUUCUGACGCUGAGGAACGAAAGCGUGGGUAGCAAACAGG
rnacentral:rRNA from 1 species